rnacentral:tRNA from 1 species
CGCGGGGUAGAGCAGUUUGGUAGCUCGUCGGGCUCAUAACCCGAAGGUCACAGGUUCAAAUCCUGUCCCCGCAACCA